GUUUCCCGCCGAAGGUGCCCGCGGGUCGGUGGUUAGUCCUUAGGUGCGGAGUCGGCCGGCUGUUCUCAUCCCGCCCGGGUGUUGCUUCCCGAAGCCUCCUCCGUCCGCCUCGGCUCUCUCCAUCCAGGUGCCCCCAGCGCGCUCUGCGCCUUUUACGCUUCCCGUUUUCGCCCAGCCUUAACCAGGGAGACACUUCUCCUCUCCCGCUCAGGGCCAAAGACCGAUGUGGAAAGGAUCCUGACUUGCUUGAAAGGGCCAGCUAAUGUCUAGGAUGUGAAGCUGUAGAGAACUAUAAGGUAAGGAAAGACUCUCUGAAGGUACGUCAGCUCCAGAAACUUCGGCCCUGGGAAAUGGCUAAGCUUCUCAGCCCUCCCCCAGGAAGGGCCCUCUCAACUCCAGCAGCCACGGGUGCCAGCUGAAGAUCAUCUCCCUUGCUGAUGCAGAGCUUCAGCGAGGUGCUGCCCCCAAGGAAUCUCUCUCUGCCUGUCCCGGUGGAUAUGAAUGGCUCAACCUGAAUUCAGGUGACCAGUCUCCAGCCCCGCCUCCCACCACCACUCAGGCAGGCCCCACACACCCACUCCACCCACGGGAGGGGCUCUCUGAUGCCCAGUAAAGCCAGCUCCAACGAUCUCCGAUCUCCGACUCAGAGCUGCGCACUUGAAGGUAAGACAUGCGUAAAGGGUUGCCGUGAAGUUUCUUGGGACUAAAAGGGUAAGAGAUGGUGCGAGGAUUGAAUUCUGAUUCCGAGUCGUUACGCUCUUUUUUGGAGUACCCUGUACCGGAACUACUCUAACCAGAAAUCCCCAGGACUGGAGGCUGGUGCCUCUAAGCGCCUGGUGUGCGUCGGGGACAGUGGUUUAGUGUCUCAGCUAAAUGAGCCUCCCACUUUCACUUUUCACUUUCCUCUGCUUUCACUUUUCCCUUUUUUCACCUCUUAAGGAGGCAUGCAUUUCAGAGCCUAGCAGGUGCAGAGCUGGCCCCUGAGGGCACCUGCCUCCUUAAAUUUUGUGCCCUCCGUUUCUAAGCUCCCAGCCCUGGUCCGGACCCCAGUCCCAGCCCGAACACCGCACACGCUCUUCUAGGCUGUGUGGCCUUUAGAGAGGCCAACUUCCCAGAAGUAGGGUGGAUCUUCUGUGGCUUGAACAUUGAGGUCUUUCCUGUGCAACGAAGGAUAUGUUUCUAGUAAAUGCAGACAUGGAAGAAAAUAGCAAACAGCGAUUGCGAUCGCGGGCCCUGGACUUGAUCUUGUUAAAGCGCUGAUCUGACUCUGGAGGGCCGGGCCGGGCCAGGCCUGGGACUCUGCAUGUCUAACUAGCUCUCAGAUGAUGCCGAUUAUUGCUGUGGGUCAGGGACCACGAGGGUCAGUUUCUCAGCUGCUCUAAAGGGGAGACCGUGCACCCAGGACCAGCAACAUAUUUUGCAGAGCCCAAUACCGAAUGAGAAGGUGGACUCCUAGUUCAAAAAUUAAGAAUUUCAAGAGUAGGAGUUCCCGUCAUGGCGCAGUGGUUAACGAAUCCGACUAGGAACCAUGAGGUUGCGGGUUUGAUCUGUGGCUUUGCUCAGUGGGUUAAGGA